AUGAUUGUCGUGGCGCAGCUGCUCGCCGCUGCCGUCUUCACGCUCACCCUCGUAUGGGUGCUGCACUUCAGGGAGGGCGUCACCUGGGAGAUGGGCUCUAUCCCUCAGCUGGUUUACACGGCUCACCCCCUCUUCAUGGUAAUCGGCCUUGUCAUUUGCACCGGAGAAGCGGUGAUGGCGUACAGGAUCGUGCUGGGCCCGCGUGCGGCAAGGAAGGCGGUGCACCUUUUGCUGCAUCUGCUUUCCCUGGGCUUCGCAGCCGUCGGGUUGUACGCUGCCGUCAAGUUCCACCGCGACGCCGGCCUCCCUGACAUCCACUCCUUGCAUUCCUGGCUGGGAAUAGCCACCAUCGGCCUCUAUGCCCUUCAGUGGCUGGUGGCUUUCGUGUACUUUGUGUUCCCUGGGGCUAUGAUGACCAUGAGGGCAGACUACGCGCCGUGGCACAUCUUCUUCGGCAUCGUCAUCUUCCUCAUGGCCGUCUGCACCGCUGAGACUGGCCUCGCCAAGUACAUCUUCCCCGGCAACGACUAUCCAAGCGAGGCGUUCGUCAUCAACUUCCUUGGGAUCUCCAUCUUCGUGUUUGGUGUUACCGUUGUCCUAGCCGUCAUCCUUCCGUCAAGAUACUAG
rnacentral:rRNA from 1 species